rnacentral:sRNA from 2 species
GUGUACCACUCCACUGCGAUUCCUGUGUGCCGUCCACAGCCACCUGACGAUCGCUCUCUACGUUUUCUUAGUC